rnacentral:rRNA from 1 species
UUCCCUCAGUAACGGCGAGUGAAGCGGGAACAGCCCAGCGCCGAAUCCCCCGGCGUGCAGCCGGCGGGAACUGUGGCGUUUAGGACAGCCCCUGCCGGGCCGCACGGUCGCCCAAGUCCUCCUGAUCGGGGCCUUUCCCACAGUGGGUGUUAGGCCUGUACUGGCGACCGUCGGUCCUGCCCGGAGCGUCCUGGGAGUCGGGUUGCUUGUGAUUGCAGCCCAAAGUGGGUGGUAAACUCCAUCUAAGGCUAAAUACAACACGAGUCCGAUAGCGAACAAGUACCGUGAGGGAAAGUUGAAAAGAACUUUGAAGAGAGAGUUCAAUAGUACGUGAAACCGCUCAGAGGCAAACGGGUGGAACCGCAAAGUCGACCCGCAGGAUUCAACCCGGCGGACGGGCUGCGGACGGAGAGGCCGCGGAUCCCUAGGACCGACUCUUCGUUCGGCGGCCGUCCACGGGUGCACUUUCUGCGGGGAGAGCGCCACGACCGGUUGAGCGGCGGCGAUAAGCCCGUCGGGUGGGUAGCGUCUCGUUCGCGGGACGUGAUGACCCGGCGCGGCGCACGCCUGCCGCGCGACCGAGGAUCGACACCGCGCCCGCCACACGGCACGGGCCCGCGGCCUCCUCGGCGAGACCAAGCUGGGUGGACUGGCGUCAGUGCUCCCUAACCGCUCGUCGUCUAGGACCGCGUCGGCUCCCGUAGGGCGCCCUGGGUCAGUGGCGAUUCGGUCGGCCCUCUACCCGACCCGUCYUGAAACACGGACCAAGGAGUCUAACAUGUGCGCGAGUCAUGGGGCUCUACGAAACCUAAAGGCGCAAUGAAAGUGAAGGCCGCUUCCGSUGGCUGAGGUGAGAUCCCGGCCCGCGGGUCGGGCGCAUCACCGGCCCGUCUCGUCCGCAUCGUCGGUGAGGCGGAGCAAGAGCGUACACGUUGGGACCCGAAAGAUGGUGAACUMUGCCUGAGUAGGACGAAGCCAGAGGAAACUCUGGUGGAAGUCCGUAGCGAUUCUGACGUGCAAAUCGAUCGUCAAACUUGGGUAUAGGGGCGAAAGACUAAUC